rnacentral:lncRNA from 1 species
AUAAAUUUCUGUACCAAUCGAAGUGACCAUCUAGUAAUGGUACCCGACGAUCGGAUAGGUCGAAUGUGUAGAACAACAUCCUUAGAACCCAUGCGGAUAUAAUUUUCAUAUAAUUCAUCCCCUUGACCAAAAUGAUCAUAGGACAACCCAGAGUUUAACUAUCAACUCUGAUCAGGUUGUCCACAUUGUAUUUCAAAAUAUCAAAUCCAUCUGAUGGAUUACCCUGGCCAAGGUUUUGCUAAAUUGAAAUACAGCGACUCAUUCUUCUCCAACUCUUGGAGUGGUCAAUCCCAUCUC